rnacentral:rRNA from 1 species
UACGUAGGGGGCCAGCGUUGUCCGGAAUCAUUGGGCGUAAAGCGCGCGUAGGCGGCCAGAUAAGUCCGGUGUGAAAGUCAAAACGGCUCAACCUUUCGAAUGACCGCUGGAAACUGUCUGGCUUGAGUCCGGAAGGGGCGAGUGGAAUUCCUGGUGUAGCGGUGAAAUGCGUAGAGAUGCGGAGGAACACCGAUGGCGAAGGCAGCCCCCUGGGCUAACACUGACGC